UCGUCGGCGAUCUGCGGGCAGAUGAAGUGCACGUGCGCGUCGACCGCGCCGGCCGUCAGGAUCCGUCCGUUGCCCGCGAUGACCUCGGUCUCCGGGCCGAGGACCAGGUCCGGGUGGACCCCGUCCAUGGUGUCGGGGUUGCCCGCCUUGCCGAGCGCGGUGAUCCGCCCGUCGCGGAUGCCGACGUCUGCCUUGACGACACCCCAGUGGUCGACGAUCACCGCGCCGGUGAUGACGGUGUCCGGGGUGCCCUCCGCGCGGGUGGCGCGGGCCUGGCCCAUGGACUCCCGGAUGA
rnacentral:sRNA from 1 species